GCCUAACGGCUGAACUGGCAACUUGGAGAAGUGGCAAGUCCUAUUUUGAUCAUAUCUUUGAAUAUGAUCUAUAGGAUUGUAUUAAAAUUGAAUAAAGCUUUGUUUAUAUAUUGAUAAUGACAGUAUAUAUAUCGUGUCUUUGACUAAAUUUGCGUGCCAGCAGUCGCGUAAUACGUAAGAGACUAGUGUUAUUCAUCUUAAUUAGGUUUAAAGGGUACCUAGACGGUCAAUAUAGCUUCUAAAAUGUUAGUACUUGACUAGAGUUUUAUGUAAGAGGGAGUACUUGAGGAGGAGAGAUGAAAUUCUAUGAUACCAAAGGGACUCGGUAAAGGCGAAGGCAGCCCUCUAUGUGAAAACUGACGUUAAAGGACGAAGGCACAGAGCACAAACAGGAUUAGAUACCCAAGUAGUCUUUGCAGUAAAUGAUGAAUGCCAUAGGUUAGAUUAAGAUUUAAUAUUAUAAUUUAAAAUUAAAUAUUAAACAUUAUUUAGUCUAUAAAUGAAAGUGUAAGCAUUUCACCUCAAGAGUAAUGUGGCAACGCAGGAACUGAAAUCACUAGACCGUUUCUGACACCAGUAGUGAAGU
rnacentral:rRNA from 1 species